AGGGGAUUAGUUUAAUGGUAGAACUGAGGACUCCAAACCCUCUGGUGUGGGUUCAAUUCCUGCAUCCCCUG
rnacentral:tRNA from 1 species